UAUUUAAAGUUUAAGAAAAUUUAUUACUUACACUAAUAAGAUUCUGUGCAAUUCAGAUAAAUAGAU
rnacentral:tRNA from 1 species